rnacentral:misc_RNA from 1 species
AAGUCGUAACAAGGUUUCCGUAGGUGAACCUGCGGAAGGAUCAUUAAUGAAAUUCUGACUGAGGUUGUAGCUGGCCCUUUACCGGGCAUGUGCACAUCUCUUUCAAAAUCCACAAACACCUGUGCACCUUUGCGCGAGUUUGGGAACGGAGGCAACUCCUAGUACUUGGCUUGCGUCCUUUAUCACAAACUCUUUGUAUGUCUUUAGAAUGUCUACUUGAUGUAAUAAAACGCAUCUAAUACAACUUUCAACAACGGAUCUCUUGGCUCUC